AUUGAACGCUGGCGGCAGGCCUAACACAUGCAAGUCGAACGAGUGGCGGACGGGUGAGUAAUGUCUGGGAAACUGCCUGAUGGAGGGGGAUAACUACUGGAAACGGUAGCUAAUACCGCAUACCAUCAGAUGUGCCCAGAUGGGAUUAGCUGGUUGGUGGGGUAAAGGCUAACCAAGGCGACGAUCCCUAGCGGGUCUGAGAGGAUGACCAGCCACACUGUAAAUUAGACUCGGUCCAGACUCCUACGUGAGGCAGAAGUGGGGAAUAUUGGACAAUGGGCGCAAGCCUGAGGCAGCCAUGGCGCGUGGAUGAAGAAGGCCUUCGGGUUGUAAAGGACUUUCAGCGGGGAGGCGUUACCCGCAGAAGAAGCACCGGCUAACUCCGUGCCAGCCGCUGCGGUAAUAC
rnacentral:rRNA from 1 species